rnacentral:rRNA from 1 species
GAUGAACGCUGGCGGCGUGCCUAAUACAUGCAAGUCGAGCGAACAGAUAAGGAGCUUUCUACUUUGACGUUAGCGGCGGACGGGUGAGUAAAACGUGGGUAACCUACCUAUAAAACUGGGGUAACUUCGUGAAACCGGAGCUAAUACCGGAGAAUAUUUCGAACCGCAUGGUUCGAUAGUGAAAGAUGGUUUUGCUAUCACUUAUAGAUGGACCCGCGCCGGAUUAGCUAGUUGGUAAGGUAACGGCUUACCAAGGCGACGAUACGUAGCCGACCUGAGAGGGUGAUCGGCCACACUGGAACUGAGACACGGCCCAGACUCCUACGGGAGGCAGCAGUAGGGAAUCUUCCGCAAUGGGCGAAAGCCUGACGGAGCAACGCCGCGUGAGUGAUGAAGGUCUUCGGAUCGUAAAACUCUGUUAUUAGGGAAGAACAUACGUGUAAGUAACUGUGCACGUCUUGACGGUACCUAAUAAGAAAGCCACGGCUAACUACGUG